UUUCCCCCAAUUCCAUCUUCGCAUAUUUCUUCUCCCUUCUGUUUUCCCUUCGUUUCAUCCCUUUCUUUUCUUGGAGUCUGUUUUUGUUUCGUCCGCUGCGAUUGGCAUGGAUUUGGCCUUCACUGGUAGCCUGGUAACAUACACUCCCAGGUCUUUCUCUGCCUCUGUGGUGGAUAGUGGAGUGUUUCCCAUGUGGUAUUGGUGUGCUGGAUAUCCCUUCACUGGUAGCCUGGUAACAUACACUCCCAGGUCUUUCUCUGCCUCUGUGGUGGAUAGUGGAGUGUUUCCCAUGUGGUAUUGGUGUGCUGGAUAUCCCUUCACUGGUAGCCUGGUAACAUACACUCCCAGGUCUUUCUCUGCCUCUGUGGUGGAUAGUGGAGUGUUUCCCAUGUGGUAUUGGUGUGCUGGAUAUCCCUUCACUGGUAGCCUGGUAACAUACACUCCCAGGUCUUUCUCUGCCUCUGUGGUGGAUAGUGGAGUGUUUCCCAUGUGGUAUUGGUGUGCUGGAUAUCCCUUCACUGGUAGCCUGGUAACAUACAGUCCCAGGUCUUUCUCUGCUUCUGUGGUGGAUAGUGGAGUGUUUCCCAUGUGGUAUUGGUGUGCUGGAUAUCCCUUCACUGGUAGCCUGGUAACAUACACUCCCAGGUCUUUCUCUGCCUCUGUGGUGGAUAGUGGAGUGUUUCCCAUGUGGUAUUGGUGUGCUGGAUAUCCCUUCACUGGUAGCCUGGUAACAUACACUCCCAGGUCUUUCUCUGCCUCUGUGGUGGAUAGUGGAGUGUUUCCCAUGUGGUAUUGGUGUGCUGGAUAUCCCUUCACUGGUAGCCUGGUAACAUACACUCCCAGGUCUUUCUCUGCCUCUGUGGUGGAUAGUGGAGUGUUUCCCAUGUGGUAUUGGUGUGCUGGAUAUCCCUU